rnacentral:pre_miRNA from 1 species
CCCAAAUUUUACAGAACAAAUCUUUUUGUUCUGUGAAGUUUGUAUU